rnacentral:rRNA from 1 species
UUAGGUAAAAGGAUAGUGGCGGACGGGUGAGUAACGCGUGGGUAACCUGCCCAACAGACCGGGACAACACUUGGAAACGGGUGCUAAUACCGGAUAAGCUUUUUUUCCGGCAUCGGAGAGAAAGGAAAGGCGGCCUCUAUUUAUAAGCUGCCGUUGUUGGAUGGACCCGCGUCUGAUUAGCUGGUUGGUGGGGUAAAGGCCUACCAAGGCGACGAUCAGUAGCCGGCCUGAGAGGGUGAACGGCCACACUGGGACUGAGACACGGCCCAGACUCCUACGGGAGGCAGCAGUGGGGAAUCUUCCGCAAUGGACGCAAGUCUGACGGAGCAACGCCGCGUGUAUGACGAAGGCCUUCGGGUUGUAAAAUACUGUCUUUGGGGACGAAUGUUAGUUAUGAAAAUAUUGUAGCUAAAUGACGGUACCCGAGGAGGAAGCCCCGGCUAACUACGUGCCAGCAGCCGCGGUAAUACGUAGGGGGCGAGCGUUGUCCGGAAUCAUUGGGCGUAAAGGGCGCGUAGGCGGAUAGUUAAGUCCGAUGUGAAAUACCAAGGCUCAACCUUGGGGCUGCAUCGGAAACUGGUUAUCUUGAGGACAGGAGAGGAAAGUGGAAUUCCUAGUGUAGCGGUGAAAUGCGUAGAUAUUAGGAGGAACACCAGUGGCGAAGGCGACUUUCUGGACUGUAACUGACGCUGAGGCGCGAAAGCGUAGGGAGCAAACAGGAUUAGAUACCCUGGUAGUCCACGCCGUAAACGAUGAGUGCUAGGUGUAGAGGGUAUCGACCCCUUCUGUGCCGCAGUUAACACAAUAAGCACUCCGCCUGGGGAGUACGGCCGCAAGGUUGAAACUCAAAUGAAUUGACGG